GAAGACAGAAAAGGUUCUCUGGAAACCCUGUUAGGGUCGACCCAAGAAGAAGUUGAGUCGACCCAACUGAACCUUGAGUCGACCCAAAGAAAGGUUGGGUCGACCCAAGUGAAGGAAGGCUGAAUUUCAAGUUUCUGUGGAUUCUGAGAGGGUCGACCCAAGGAAUGUUUGAGUCGACCCAAGUGAAAGUUGGGUCGACCC
rnacentral:lncRNA from 1 species